UGCAGUCGAGCGGUAACAGAUCCAGCUUGCUGGAUGCUGACGAGCGGCGGACGGGUGAGUAAUGCAUAGGAAUCUGCCCGAUAGUGGGGGAUAACCUGGGGAAACCCAGGCUAAUACCGCAUACGUCCUACGGGAGAAAGGGGGCUCCGGCUCCCGCUAUGGGAUGAGCCUAUGUCGGAUUAGCUAGUUGGUGAGGUAACGGCUCACCAAGGCCACGAUCCGUAGCUGGUCUGAGAGGAUGAUCAUCCACAUCGGGACUGAGACACGGCCCGAACUCCUACGGGAGGCAGCAGUGGGGAAUAUUGGACAAUGGGGGCGACCCUGAUCCAGCCAUGCCGCGUGUGUGAAGAAGGCCCUCGGGUUGUAAAGCACUUUCAGCGAGGAAGAACGCCUAGCGGUUAAUACCCGCUAGGAAAGACAUCACUCGCAGAAGAAGCACCGGCUAACUCCGUGCCAGCAGCCGCGGUAAUACGGAGGGUGCAAGCGUUAAUCGGAAUUACUGGGCGUAAAGCGCGCGUAGGUGGCUUGAUAAGCCGGUUGUGAAAGCCCCGGGCUCAACCUGGGAACGGCAUCCGGAACUGUCAAGCUAGAGUGCAGGAGAGGAAGGUAGAAUUCGCGGUGUAGCGGUGAAAUGCGUAGAGAUCGGGAGGAAUACCAGUGGCGAAUGCGGCCUUCUGGACUGAGACUGACACUGAGGUGCGAAAGCGUGGGUAGCAAACAGGAUUAGAUACCCUGGUAGUCCACGCCGUAUACGAUGUCGA
rnacentral:rRNA from 1 species